AGCUUAUCUUACAUGAUAAGAAGUCCAUAUCCUGACAUCAUAUCUUACAAGAACAUUUUUUCAAGACUCCUCUCUUAGUUGACAAAAUUCACUACUCCUGCCAGCUUCUUCUCUCAAGGAAACCGUAACCGAACCCUAAGACCAACCUCCUUCACUUACUCGUAGGAUUUAGCGCCUCGAAGCUGGAAAUUCACCCUAUAUAAUCACCUUUUAGACAUAAGGCUCUGAUUUGACCCCGGCACCACGUCGAAAGCAGCGGAUGACGUUUGUAAACACUACAUAUCAGCUGGUGACUCCGAGGGAUAUCCACGCCACCUUCCGUCCUCUUAUCUCUCGCACUCAACGUCAGUCUCCAACUGUGAGAGCAUCAUCUUCGCCUGUAUUUUUAGAACAGCCACUGAGACACAAUGCGUCAGCUCAAGGGAAAGCCAAAGGAGUCCGCAAAGGAGAAGCGCGAGAGGAAGAAGGAGUUCAUGGAGAACAAAGAUAGGGCCUUCACAGUGGCUCUUCCAGUCCUAGGUGGACUCUUCCUCCUCCUCGCCAUUUUCGUUUACAUCAAGACGCGGCCAAGGAUGGAAGAGCUGUAAGAUGAAGAUGUCCGUCUGUGGGAGUUCAAUCCUGCAGACACCCCCAGUCCAUAUCAGGAAGUUUGCAGACAAGCUUCCAGUCAUAUAAGAUUGUGCAAAUUUGGAUUUAAGAGAGAUUUUUGUUUUUGUUUGUUUGUUUUUUCUGUGUGCAGGAUCAUUGGUAUUACAUAAUUGCAUCAGCUGACAAAGACAAAUGACUUCAGUACCCACAGAUUGAGUAAAUUGGGAAACUUGAUGUAAAACCAUAAAAGUAUACUGUAUUUAACAAAGAUGACAUAGGCCUUCGUGGUUGAUCAUAAAUAUAGUCUACAUUUUGGAAUGUAAUUGUUAUCUGCUCUGAUAUUUAAGAUAGCUACAUCAGGAAUAUACACAUGAUGUAAAUGAUAUAAUUCUAUUUAAUCAUCAAGGAAAUAUGAUGAAAAUGUACCAUAGAUUCUUUUAUAUUUAUAUAUUGAACCAAUGAAAGUGGAUUUAUAUAACAGAUGUACAGUAUACUGUGAUAUUGAUAGGAACAAUGUGCCUUAUGUCCUCUAACCUGAAGUAAUUUUUUGGUUUAUAUUUACCAUGUAGGUUAUCUAAAGGUUCUCAGGAGUGGUCAUGUGGUGGUGGUGGUGUUUUAUUUUUUUAUUAUCACCAUUAUUAAGAGUUCUGAAAGCUUCAGAUAUAUCUAUUCUAUACAUGAAUACAUAUGCAUAUGAGUAUAUGUGUAUCCAGAUAUGUAGACCAUCACUGCAAAAGCUUCACUUCCAAACCUCCCUAGAGUGAUACUAAAUCUAGAAAUUCGUUUCUGCUUAUCUAGAGCCUUGAGAAGAUAUGAAAGAAUUAAACAUUGAGCACAAAUUUUUGGUAUGUAGUAUAGGGUUGCAGUAUUUUGAAAAGAUGAUAUAGGGUCUUGUAUCAACAUACACCCUUGUUCUUACUUCAGCAACAAAAUGCACUCAUGCAAAUAGUUACUCAUGUGCCUUGGAUAUAGAAGUAUUUGUUGCUACUUCAGAUGCUCACAGUAUCAUGUGAUUACUAGAAUGAUUUUCAAAAUUCUGCACACCUAUAUAUUGAUAACUUGUAGUUCUCUUGUUUAUGAAUUUGAUUACAUAUAUGUAUUUGUAUAUUUAUGUGUGUUUAUAUAUGUAUAUGUAUAUGUGUAUGUAUAUAUAUAUAUAUAUAUAUAUAUAUAUAUAUAUAUAUAUAUAUAUAUAUAUAAUAUGAUUAGGUGUUUCAUGGAAAUUACUGUUAUCAAAAGAAUAGAAGUAAAUGAUGACUAUUCAGAAUUCCAUUUUCUUUCUGUCUUUGAGACUGCAAAUGUUCAUUCCAUCAUAUUUGUGGAGAAGGCCACUGUAUGUUAUCACUUUUAUAUUCUUUCUAUAUGGUGUCGACAGAAAUGUGAAUGCUUCUAUCCUUUCUUUUUCUUCCUUCUGUGCUGGAAUUUGAUUUUCAUUUAAGACAUUAGCGUAAGCUCACGGUCUUCCAUGACUAGGUUUGUGUGUUGUACAAACAUUUUAGAUUUAAUUUAAUUUCUCCAUCCUACACUGACCUCUGUUGCUUUUUCUUUUUCAAAUUCCUUUUUCUUAUGAUUUCACAGGGAGAAACCUUAGGACAUAGUUCAAUUUUGUCAUCUUCUUAAGGAGCUCCACAUAGAUCAGAUACAGUUGUCUUGUCGUGGUCUCCAGUAAAUGAAUGAGCAGCUUGGGUAUCGACCUGUUGAUUUUCUCUAUUUAUUGUUAUUUUGUAUCUUUAACAAGACCAUUUGUAUGAGAUUAGGGCUAUCAGGAUGUGUUCAGUUUAUACUAUUUGUAUACAAGGGUUUUGGGUGCUAGUUUUCCUAUUCUUGCUGUUAUUACCAUGUAAUGAUUGUUUUAAUGAUUCCUCAAAUCUAUUUUCACAGUGUAGAUGAUAUUUCAUUUCCCUCUUCUUGAAUCCUCUGUACAGGGGGUGAUUUGUUAAGUUUUCUGUUAGUAAUGGGAGUGAGUUUGAACCUCGUUUAUUUAUUAUGUAUACACUGGCAACCCUUAUGUCUUCAAUUCACUUAUAGUUAAACCAUUUGAGUGUACUGAGCAGAAUUGUCCAACUGAACAUAAUAUAUAGAGUACAAGAAGUGUAGUUGUUUCUUAACAAAGUGUUCUUUAACUAUUAGCAUAUUAAUUUAUGGUUCUGGGCCUUCCUUUCUGUGGAAUUUGCCUUUAGAAAGUAUUUUUUACCAGAAAAUAAAGGAAAUAUAUAAAACACUAUUGUAAUAUAUAAUCAGAUUAGAAUUGCUUCAGAUUCUGAUUACCAUUCCUUUAAUUCACUGCAGAGAAGCAUGUGCACUCAAAGGGUUAUUCCUAAAGCUAAUUAAGUGAAGAGAAACUUGCCUUGAUAUUUAUUAAGUAUGUUGCAACCACACAGCUUUUAUCAGUCAUGCGUGGACCCUGUUGACAUAAGCAUGCAUGCACCACCAUCUUCCUGCAAAGCAAUAGAUGAUGUCCAAUAAAGUCUUUACUUAAUUUUUCA
rnacentral:lncRNA from 1 species